GGCUAAUCUAUACCCACUGAAGAGAAACCAUGUAGAUUAUAAGAUCAAACCUUACUGGCAACAGUUUUAAAAGAUCAACGUAAGGUUAUGAGUGGUCUCUGGCAAGAUUCACAUCUGUUUGUGCAGCGGCCCUGAAAGAGAUCCUAUACAGAGGACAUGGAAACUCUAAUGACCUAUUCAGCUACUGCUGCUGAGUACCCAAUUGAAAUGGAAACACUCAAACACAACUCAGUGGGAUAUUGUGAUGAUACUGGUAAUGAGUAAUGUUUUGCUUCAGUUUGAUCAGAAAUCGCAGUCUUUGAUCCAGGAGUUUCAUGUGGUGUUCUUCAACCAGGUCAAGUAAUGAGAACUCUGCCCUCUGAGGAUCUUAAUGCUAUGCAGUCUCUUUUGUAUUGUUGCUCAUGCAGAAGGGUGUGUGUUCAGGAUGUAACUUAUGAAAGCUUAGGAUCACGUGAUUCAGUUUGUCCUUCUUGAGGACCAUGUUGUCUCUGCUCCAGCCUUUUAGCUGUUUGACUACCUCCCUGUAUAUUAUUUCAUCAUUCCCUUAUAAUAUAGGAAUCAUUGAUUGUCAAACUUAUCAUUAUAUGAUGAUGAUUAUUUAUUUGGUUUUCUUCAUAUGUUUAUAUGUAGUUUUGUCGUACCAGUGUAAACAACAGUGGACCAGACUUUAAGGAUACUCAAUGCUUAGCGCAACAAAAGUCUUCCUGAUGCAGACUGAAUGUGGCCUGUGGGGAAGGUAAGAAUCCAGAUUAGUAGCAUUGCUCAGGCCAGCCAGUGCUCUACGCUUCGAGCUCUGGUGUCAAAAACUGAAUUAGAGAUGAUUAUCCAUGCUUUAAGUUAAUCACAUCUUGAUUAUAGUAACAAGCUUUUAUGUGUUUGAAUAAGGAAGAUCUUGGCCGUCUUUAGUCGGUACAGAAUUUUGUUGCAAGGCUUUUAACCAACCCACGAAAGAGACAGAACAUUGAUGAGUUUUUAUCAACCAAUUUACCAUUAUUUUCUUUAUAUUUGAUAGUUCACUUUAGAAUUCAUUUUGAAAUUUUAGUCCUCACUUUUAGUCUUGUGUUGUCACUCCCCAGCUUAUAUCUCCAACCUCCUCUGCUUCUCGCUAGUCUGAGAUCUUCCAGUGGAUGUAAAUGGUUCCACAAACACAUCUUAAGACCAUAUGGGAUACAUCCUUUAGUUCUUUGGCCCCCAGUUUGUGGAAAGUGUUGCCUUCAUAUCUGUGCUGUCUUGAUGCUGUUGAAUUCUUUUGAGCAGCUAAAGACUCAGUUAUUCACACUGACUUUUAAUGUUGGGGCUUGGGAGUGUCAUGCUUUGCUGGUCCACCAGAGGUCAUCCUCGAGCUGCAGUAUACUCCUACUACAGGUGUUCCUGAUCUACGGCUAAUUGUGGAUGCCUUGGAGGAGUACUUUGGAGCCAACCACCAAUCCUUUGACACCUGAGUGUUUUGCCCAUGUGUACCUGUGAGGUGUGGGUAUAUUGUGUUAUUCAAACCUUGAUCAAACCUGGAUUACCUGCUGACAGUUUGAGACUUUGGAUUUCCAGCAAUUUUGGCUGUUGAUUUGGCUCCUAAACCUCCUGGACUACUGGAUUCCCAACCUCAUCAGAAGCCCUCCCGGCUCUGCAAACAAUCUGAGACCAAGUGGUGCUGGAGCUCUCAGGUGUGCUGGAUGACGGGUGCGACUUAUUCCACUGAUUGCCA